rnacentral:rRNA from 1 species
ACGAAGGGGGCUAGCGUUGUUCGGAAUCACUGGGCGUAAAGCGCGCGUAGGCGGACCGUUAAGUCGGAGGUGAAAGCCUGGAGCUCAACUCCAGAACUGCCUUCGAUACUGGCGGUCUCGAGUCCGGGAGAGGUGAGUGGAACUGCUAGUGUAGAGGUGAAAUUCGUAGAUAUUAGCAAGAACACCAGUGGCGAAGGCGGCUCACUGGCCCGGUACUGACGCUGAGGUGCGAAAGCGUGGGGAGCAAACAG